AUUGAACGCUGGCGGCAGGCCUAACACAUGCAAGUCGAGCGGAUGAAGGGAGCUUGCUCCUGGAUUCAGCGGCGGACGGGUGAGUAAUGCCUAGGAAUCUGCCUGGUAGUGGGGGAUAGCGUCCGGAAACGGGCGCUAAUACCGCAUACGUCCUGAGGUAGAAAGGGGGGGAUCUUCGGACCUCACGCUACCAGAUGAGCCUAGGCGGGAUUAGCUAGUUGGUGGGGUAAAGGCCUACCAAGGCGACGAUCCGAAACUGGUCUGAGAGGAUGAUCAGUCACACUGGAACUGAGACACGGUCCAGACUCCUACGGGAGGCAGCAGUGGGGAAUAUUGGGCAAUGGGCGAAAGCCUGAUCCAGCCAUGCCGCGUGUGUGAAGAAGGUCUUCGGAUUGUAAAGCACUUUUAGUUGGGAGGAAGGGCAGUAAGUUAAUACCUUGCUGUUUUGACGUUACCAACAGAAUAAGCACCGGCUAACUUCGUG
rnacentral:rRNA from 1 species